UACGAAGGGUGCAAGCGUUACUCGGAAUUACUGGGCGUAAAGCGUGCGUAGGUGGUGAGUUAAGUCUGUCGUGAAAGCCCCGGGCUCAACCUGGGAAUUGCGUUGGAGACUGCAAGGCUAGAAUCUGGCAGAGGGGGGUAGAAUUCCACGUGUAGCAGUGAAAUGCGUAGAUAUGUGGAGGAACACCGAUGGCGAAGGCAGCCCCCUGGGUCAAGAUUGACGCUCAUGCACGAAAGCGUGGGGAGCAAACAGGG
rnacentral:rRNA from 1 species